rnacentral:rRNA from 1 species
CCUACGGGAGGCAGCAGUGGGGAAUAUUGGACAAUGGGCGAAAGCCUGAUCCAGCCAUGCCGCGUGUGUGAAGAAGGCCUUCGGGUUGUAAAGCACUUUCAGUGGGGAAGAAAGCCUUGGGGCUAAUACCCUCGAGGAAGGACAUCACCCACAGAAGAAGCACCGGCUAACUCCGUGCCAGCAGCCGCGGUAAUACGGAGGGUGCGAGCGUUAAUCGGAAUUACUGGGCGUAAAGCGCGCGUAGGCGGUCUGAUAAGCCGGUUGUGAAAGCCCCGGGCUCAACCUGGGAACGGCAUUCGGAACUGUCAGGCUAGAGUGCAGGAGAGGAAGGUAGAAUUCCCGGUGUAGCGGUGAAAUGCGUAGAGAUCGGGAGGAAUACCAGUGGCGAAGGCGGCCUUCUGGACUGACACUGACGCUGAGGUGCGAAAGCGUGGGUAGCAAACAGGAUUAGAUACCCUAGUAGUC